rnacentral:rRNA from 1 species
UACGUAGGGGGCAAGCGUUGUCCGGAAUCAUUGGGCGUAAAGCGCGCGUAGGCGGCUCGAUCAGUCUGCUGUAAAAGUCAAAGGCUCAACCUUUGAAUGCCGGUGGAUACUGUCGGGCUAGAGUCCGGAAGGGGCGAGUGGAAUUCCUGGUGUAGCGGUGAAAUGCGCAGAUAUCAGGAGGAACACCUAUGGCGAAGGCAGCUCGCUGGGACGGUACUGACGCUGAGGAGCGAAAGCGUGGGGAGCGAACAGG